GCGGGAUAGCUCAGCUGGUUAGAGCGCAGGAUUCAUAAUCCUGAGGUCGAGAGUUCGAGUCUCUCUCCCG
rnacentral:tRNA from 1 species